rnacentral:snRNA from 1 species
AGCUUUGCACAGUGGCAGCAUCGUAGCCAAUGAGGUUUAUCCGAGGCGCGAUUAUUGCUAAUACACCAAAAAUAGGAUCUUAUAUAUCCUGAGCAACUCACUUGUCUCAUUCAACAAAAUUUUCGGGAAACCUUUCCAUCUUCCUCAACAUAGGU